UAGCAGUCGCAACUGGCGUAUAGACGGAGCCCGCUCCGCCUCAGAUGGUUCACCAUCGGGGAGCGACCCUGCACCUUGAAGACAAGGGCGGAUUCGGCCGCACGCCUGGGCCGAAACG
rnacentral:ncRNA from 2 species